rnacentral:misc_RNA from 1 species
CUGGAAAAACGUGACUAUUAUUCAUGAGAAGAGAGCCAUUACAGCCUAUCUCUAUUUAUGAGAGAGGCUAACUGAUCAGGUAGGUUGGAUAUCCACCCCACAAAUAAAGAUCCCAAUCUUACAUUACAUGCUAACCAACGGGCACAUUCAUUAGAGGAUAUAGGAGCAAACUGAACAGAGAAAUUGGGAUAGAAUGCUAAGGUCUUAAAAAUUAUCAUGAAUAAUAGCGUCUAACUCCCAAGGCGGCGGCGGUAGAGGAGCAGAAAUAAUGCGAAGCAGAAAUAAUGCGAAUCAAUUGCAGAGAAUCGGACUCAAACAGAACAUGCUGGUACCCUCUACUACGCAUAAAGAUCAGAGAUUCUCUAAGAGCAUGCGCUUCUGCUGCUAAGGGAGAAGAUGAGAAGAACUUUCCAGCACAUCCAUCAAUAAAAAAAAUCCCCUUGAUAUUCUUACCAUUACACCAUAUACUGCUCGUAAUGUAUCCUUAUCAAAAGAAGCAUCCACAUUCACUUUAACUCCUUGAAUCGGAGGCUACCAACUUUGAUGAGAGGAAGUUAAUCCUGUGUACUGUGGUGGCUCAGAAUGCCAUUGCGGAACGGCAAAAGAGGCCUUUCAUCAAUAGCAUUCUGAGAUUUUUUAAAAGUUACUACAGGGUUGAGGGGGUAGGAUGGACUUGAACAUUGCAUCAUUACGAGUUUUCCAAAUAUUCCAACAAAGAUAAGUAGCUAAUUGCAGUUCUCUUUUAUCAGAAGAAGUGCGCCAAGAGGAAAAGGUCUGCCACCAUUCUCCGAACAACCGAAAGCCAUAUUCUGAAGGAAAGAAACCCGAGUUAGACCCAAAACCAGGUGAGCUUCGCGUGAUGACCAAAAAUCAGCAGGUGUUCAACUGAUUCUGUAUGAUGGUUACAGAUGGGGCAAGCUGCAAAUUCCACGCACUUUCUUUUGUAUAAAUUUGCUCUAGAAGCCAAUGAGUUUGUAUAGUCUCCAAAGGAAAACCUUUAUCUUCUGAGCCAUAGGAAAGGACCAUAAGCUAUUCCAAAAAGGAGGCAGAAAUUGAUUGGAUGAUGGAGUCCUACCCAAAUUCUGCAUCUCUUGCUGCUUCUUUAACAGAAAAUAUACUGAUUUGAACGAUGGGCAACCCUUUCCAGAAUGAUGCCAUAUAAGCUCUGCUUCUUUAGGAAUGGACCCAAGGGGAAUCUUCAUAAUAGCCACACAUUCUGCAGGUGAGAAACCAUAUUUGUAUUGAUGUAAUGUAUAUGUCGAUGAUAUUUUUGUUUUGUUCUCGUGAUAAAAGUAGUUAAAAUUUUGCAUAGGUAGUUUGGGUAGUCUUUUUUCACCAUUAAACUAUGAGAAG